rnacentral:rRNA from 1 species
UACGUAGGCAGCGAGCGUUGUUCGGAGUUACUGGGCGUAAAGGGUGUGUAGGCGGUUCUUUAAGUUUGGUGUGAAAUCUCCCGGCUCAACCGGGAGGGUGCGCCGAAAACUGGGGGGACUAGAGUGCGGGAUGGGAGAGUAGAAUUCCUGGUGUAGCGGUGAAAUGCGUAGAUAUCAGGAAGAACACCCGUGGCUAAGGCGGCUCUCUAGUACGGUACUGACGCUGAGACGCGAAAGCGUGGGGAGCGAACAGG